AAGAUGCUCAAAUGUUGAAAUUUGUUGAUGCAUAUUUGUAUUUGAUGCAAUCAUACUAGGUUUCAAGGAAAGUUUAUUCUAAAUUUAAUAUAUUAAACUCAUUAUCUUACUUUUCAUAGUAUUUAGCAAACAUUUUUAUCUUAAGCAAUUUACUUUAUUUUUACACUUUAAAAGUCUUCCAAGGAUAUAAUUACAGUCUAGUCAAGAAUUUGAACUACAAAUCACCCGAGAUGAUGGCAAUUAAUGUGAUUGUAUAAUCAUUUCAAUGUUAUUUGUAAGUGCGGUUCCUUUAAUUUAUGAUAGUAUUGUUUAAAAGUACCACACCUGCAAUAUCAAAACAAAUUAUUCAUAAUUAAAACACUGCAAAUAAUAAAAUAUCUCAGUCAUUUUUUAUUAUUAAGAAAAAUUCAGACACUUAAUUAACUAUUUUAUUUUUUAUUAAAAAAUCCAAUUUUGGAUUCCAUCACAGGUUGACAGCUAAUCUGUCUGCAGCAUUGGGGGAUGAUCACAUUACCAGACAUGAGAACAAAGCAGGGGAUUACGUGCAAAAUGUUGCCGCCGACUUUCCGCAGCAGAUGGACACCACUGAAGAACAUAAGCAAGACAUAGCUGAGGAACCACAACAGCUUUCCGUGGAUGACAGCAAUGGCGGCUUAUCAUUUGACCAAAACAGAGAGCUGGUUGCAGUUGGUCCUGAAGAAGCAGCUGUGCAGUUAUUGCUCUUCAACAAUACAGAAGAGACCUUCAGCGUUCACAUCAUUCCAGUUGAAGAAGAAGAUGACGACGAUGUCCAGUUUGUUCAAGAAACGCAGCAAGAACCAGCAAAAAACACUUCUGCUGCACUCAAUAACGACAACCAGCUGCCCUUAGAUAUCAACAGCGCUGAAAACGUUACGACCAAUGAUGAUGCUGGUGUGCUGUGUGUAGAAACCACCAAGACAAAUGCAGACAAGUUUCCUUGUAAAAUAUGUUUCAGAACCUUCUUUCACAUGGGAACUCUUACUCGCCACAUGAAGUCACAUAAAUCUAACUUCUGCAAUAUUUGCAAGCAGCAUUUUCCUCAACAAAUGAAGCUGGACUCUCACAGUUGUGUGCUGCCGCCUUCUCUCAAACAAGCAGCAAGUGUUGCAAAGUGUGCGGGAAGACGUUUAACCACCCGUCAGAUCUCAGGGUUCAUUAUGUAGUCCACACUGGAGAAAACCCUCACAGGUGCAGAUUUUGUGAAAAAACUUUUACGCAGAAAGGCAACCUGAAUUGCCAUCUGCGCUUCCACGCCAGGGAAAGACCAUUCAGGUGCGAUAAAUGUGGAAGAACUUUCACUCAAAAGGUGAGCCUUAACAAUCAUUUAAUGUCAUACUUUCAUCGUGAGAUUGUGGAUGACAGAAAUACUGAAGGCAUUUAAAAACAGUGGAUGUGGAGCUUCAUUACAGUACUGUUAACUGCUGCUGUCAUGUUGUAACUAUUUACUGUAUUGUGCUUUCAAUUUUGUGAAAAUACGGUGGUGCAGUGGCCUCGAGCAAGAAACUGAACCCCACCUAGAUGCUUUUAUUUUUACCAUCAAAAUAGGUUCCCGUGUUUAAUAAAAGCUUCCGUUUUA